rnacentral:rRNA from 1 species
UAUCUGUACCCUGUUGCUUCGGCGUGGCCACGGCCCGCCGGAGACUAACAUUUGAACGCUGUCUGAAGUUUGCAGUCUGAGUUUUUAGUUAAACAAUCGUUAAAACUUUCAACAACGGAUCUCUUGGUUCCGGCAUCGAUGAAGAACGCAGCGAAAUGCGAUAAUUAAUGUGAAUUGCAGAAUUCAGUGAAUCAUCGAGUCUUUGAACGCACAUUGCGCCCCCUGGUAUUCCGGGGGGCAUGCCUGUCCGAGCGUCAUUGCUGCCCUCAAGCACGGCUUGUGUGUUGGGCUUCCGUCCCUGGCAACGGGGACGGGCCCAAAAGGCAGUGGCGGCACCAUGUCUGGUCCUCGAGCGUAUGGGGCUUUGUCACCCGCUCCCGUAGGUCCAGCUGGCAGCUAGCCUCGCAACCAAUCUUUUUAACCAGGUUGACCUCGGAUCAGGUAGGGAUACCCGCUGAACUUAAGCAUAUC